UGGGGAAUUUUGGACAAUGGGCGAAAGCCUGAUCCAGCAAUGCCGCGUGUGUGAAGAAGGCCUUCGGGUUGUAAAGCACUUUUGUCCGGAAAGAAAUCCUUGGCUCUAAUACAGUCGGGGGAUGACGGUACCGGAAGAAUAAGCACCGGCUAACUACGUGCCAGCAGCCGCGGUAAUACGUAGGGUGCAAGCGUUAAUCGGAAUUACUGGGCGUAAAGCGUGCGCAGGCGGUUUGCUAAGACCGAUGUGAAAUCCCCGGGCUCAACCUGGGAACUGCAUUGGUGACUGGCAGGCUAGAGUAUGGCAGAGGGGGGUAGAAUUCCACGUGUAGCAGUGAAAUGCGUAGAGAUGUGGAGGAAUACCGAUGGCGAAGGCAGCCCCCCUGGGCCAAAUACUGACGCUCAUGCACGAAAGCGUGGGGAGCAAACAGGAUUAGAUACCCUGGUAGUCCACGCCCUAAACGAUGUCAACUAGUUGUUGGGGAUUCAUUUCCUUAGUAACGUAGCUAACGCGUGAAGUUGACCGCCUGGGGAGUACGGUCGCAAGAUUAAAACUUAAAGGAA
rnacentral:rRNA from 1 species